rnacentral:misc_RNA from 1 species
AAGUCGUAACAAGGUUUCCGUAGGUGAACCUGCGGAAGGAUCAUUAACAAAUCAUGUUGUCGUGCAGCUUCGGCUGCCGGCUAACCAUUCACCCCACUGUCAUUCGCGCCGCAAGGCCGUCUGUCUGGGUUGGGCGUGGCAGCAAUGCCACUUCCAGUUGCCGAGUGCGCAUGUCCUUGGACUGCCUCUUGGCACAAAACAUCAACGCGUUUACAAAGUUUGACAUUUACAUAGUUGUACCAAAUUCAAAAAAGAACAACUUUUAACAAUGGAUCUCUUGGCUCUU